GACGAACGCUGGCGGCGUGCCUAAUACAUGCAAGUCGAGCGCAGGAAACUGACGGAACUCUUCGGAGGGAAGGCAGCGGAAUGAGCGGCGGACGGGUGAGUAACACGUAAGGAACCUGCCUCAAGGAUUGGGAUAACUCCGAGAAAUCGGUGCUAAUACCGGAUAGUUCAUCGGACCGCAUGGUCCGUUGAUGAAAGGCGCUUCGGCGUCACCUUGAGAUGGCCUUGCGGUGCAUUAGCUAGUUGGUGGGGUAACGGCCCACCAAGGCGACGAUGCAUAGCCGACCUGAGAGGGUGAUCGGCCACACUGGGACUGAGACACGGCCCAGACUCCUACGGGAGGCAGCAGUAGGGAAUCUUCCGCAAUGGACGAAAGUCUGAUGGAGCAACGCCGCGUGAGUGAUGAAGGUUUUCGGAUCGUAAAACUCUGUUGUAAGGGAAGAACACGUACGAGAGGGAAUGCUCGUACCUUGACGGUACCUUACGAGAAAGCCACGGCUAACUACGUGCCAGCCGCCGCCGUAACAC
rnacentral:rRNA from 1 species